rnacentral:rRNA from 1 species
GUGGGGAAUAUUGGACAAUGGGGGCAACCCUGAUCCAGCAAUGCCGCGUGUGUGAAGAAGGUCUUCGGAUCGUAAAGCACUUUCGACGGGGACGAUGAUGACGGUACCCGUAGAAGAAGCCCCGGCUAACUUCGUGCCAGCAGCCGCGGUAAUACGAAGGGGGCUAGCGUUGCUCGGAAUUACUGGGCGUAAAGGGCGCGUAGGCGGCUCUGUUAGUCAGGCGAGAAAUUCCUGGGCUUAACCUGGGGACUGCGCUUGAUACUGCGGAGCUUGAGGCCGAGAGAGGGUGGUGGAAUUCCCAGUGUAGAGGUGAAAUUCGUAGAUAUUGGGAAGAACACCGGUGGCGAAGGCGACCACCUGGCUCGGUACUGACGCUGAGGCGCGACAGCGUGGGGAGCAAACAGGAUUAGAAACCCUAGUAGUCC